rnacentral:rRNA from 1 species
UACGAAGGGAGCUAGCGUUACUCGGAAUCACUGGGCGUAAAGCGCAUGUAGGCGGAAUUACAAGUCAGGGGUGAAAUCCCAGAGCUUAACUCUGGAAUUGCCUUUGAAACUGUAAUUCUUGAUUAUGUCAGAGGAUGGUGGAAUUUCCAGUGUAGAGGUGAAAUUCGUAGAUAUUGGAAAGAACACCGGUGGCGAAGGCGGCCAUCUGGGACAUUAAUGACGCUGAGAUGCGAAAGCGUGGGGAGCGAACGGG